rnacentral:rRNA from 1 species
UACGGGGGGGCAAGCGUUGUUCGGAAUUACUGGGCGUAAAGGGCUCGUAGGCGGCCAACUAAGUCAGACGUGAAAUCCCCAGGCUCAACCUGGGAACUGCGUCUGAUACUGGAUGGCUUGAAUCCGGGAGAGGGAUGCAGAAUUCCAGGUGUAGCGGUGAAAUGCGUAGAUAUCUGGAGGAUACCGGUGGCGAAGGCGGCAUCCUGGACCGGCAUUGACGCUGAGGAGCGAAAGCUAGGGGAGCAAACGGGG